rnacentral:rRNA from 1 species
UACGUAGGGAGCAAGCGUUGUCCGGAAUCAUUGGGCGUAAAGCGCGCGUAGGUGGCCUCAUAAGUCCGCUGUGAAAGUCAAAGGCUCAACCUUUGAAAGCCGGUGGAUACUGUGAGGCUAGAGUACGGAAGAGGCGAGUGGAAUUCCUGGUGUAGCGGUGGAAUGCGCAGAUAUCAGGAGGAACACCAACGGCGAAGGCAGCACUCUGGGCCGGAACUGACGCUGAGGAGCGAAAGCGUGGGUAGCGAACAGG